rnacentral:rRNA from 1 species
GAUGAACGCUGACAGAAUGCUUAACACAUGCAAGUCAACCUGACUUUGGGUUUUUUACUUAGGUUUGGGUGGCGGACGGGUGAGUAACGCGUAAAGAACUUGCCUCCCAGCUAGGGACAACAUUUGGAAACGAAUGCUAAUACCUAAUAUUAUGAUAAUAGGACCUCCUAUUUUUAUGAAAGCUAUAAGCGCUGUGAGAGGGUUUUGCGUCACAUUAGCUAGUUGGAGAGGUAACGGCGCACCAAGGCGAGGAUGGGUAGCCGGCCUGGGAGGGUGAUCGGCCACAAGGGGACUGGGACACGGCCCUUACUCAUACGGGAGGCAGCAGUGAAGAAUAUUGGACGAAGGACCGAGUGUCUGAUCCAGCAAUUCUGUGUGCACGAUGAAGUUUUUCGGAAUGAAAAGUGCUUUCAGUUGGGAAGAAACAAUUGACGGUACCAACAGAAGAAGUGACGGCUAAAUACGUG